GACGAACGCUGGCGGCGUGCUUAACACAUGCAAGUCGAACGGAAAGGCCCCUUUGGGGGUACUCGAGUGGCGAACGGGUGAGUAACACGUGAGUAACCUGCCCUUGACUUCGGGAUAACUUCAGGAAACUGGGGCUAAUACCGGAUAGGAAUCCUUGCUGCAUGGUGGGGGUUGGAAAGCUUCGGCGGUUUUGGAUGGACUCGCGGCUUAUCAGCUUGUUGGUGGGGUAGUGGCUUACCAAGGCCUUGACGGGUAGCCGGCCUGAGAGGGCGACCGGCCACAUUGGGACUGAGAUACGGCCCAGACUCCUACGGGAGGCAGCAGUGGGGAAUAUUGCACAAUGGGCGGAAGCCUGAUGCAGCAACGCCGCGGGCGGGAGGACGGCCUUCGGGUUGUAAACCGCUUUCAGCAGGGGCGAAGCUUGUGGUGACGGUACCUGCAGAAGAAGCACCGGCUAACUACGUG
rnacentral:rRNA from 1 species